UUUUGAAUGACAAAAUAUAUUAGAAUUAAUCCAAAGAGAAAGUAAAAUAAGUAUAAGGAGUACUCAAAUAAGAAAAACAAAAACCAGAAGAGAGGAAAAAAAGGCCAACAACCAGGACCAACCACAAAACAAAAAGGAAAUCAAAGUACCAGUCAAAAGUGCAAAAAGGACCUAAUAAACUAACAAACCAGACACAAAUCGAUCCCGAAUCUGCGACGCCACACCUCUUUAAUGAGCCAAACAAAGAACAAGUUUUGUCUCUCUCUCGGAGGAAGUGCAGGAAUGACCAAAGUCCUUCCCCGAGAACCACUUCUAGGAGGUGAAAAUAAUCUUGUCCACUAAUUGCGCAACACUCGUGGUCUUUUUCGCAAUAACCAAAUGGAUCACACAACCAAAUGUAAAACCAAAAUCAAACCUCGUUUAACCCUAGCCCCUAAGCCCGCAAACAUAUGGAGCAAGUAUGGAGGUAACACAAACUCCCACCUUAACCACCCAAGCUUACAACUGAUAAAUAAAUGAGUAGCUAACUCCAAUAUCUCCCCCAAAAUUACACAACAAAUAGCAUUAGAAUCAACAAUAAUCAUCCUCUUUAAAAGAUUUUAGCGGGUAGGAAUUCUAUCUUGAAGUAACUUCCAAGAGAAAACUAUCACCUUCGAAAAGACUCAACUCUUCCAAACCUUAGCCAAGAUUUGGACAUCCUCCUCUACAUGGGGAAUCCCAGCAUGAAAGGCACCACUUCCAAUUAUUCUCCUGUGAAGAAAAAAAAAAUGUGUUCAACAUAACCGCCAGCUCAUCUUCCCAAACAAAUAACUCUCUCCUCCACUUAAGAUCCUGCACCUAACUCUCCCCCACUUAAUGACCCAUAUCACCAACCAUCAAACUCUAUUGCUCUAAGACUUGGAAAAUCUUCUGGAAACGACACCCCAAAUAAACUUAACCCAUUUCUGACGUCCUCGACUACCCCAUUUGAGAACCAAUCAAAGAUAGAGUUAGAGGACGAUCCAAGCAACGAAAUAUCUAUUCACCAAGCCAAAAUCUUCCAAAAGAAUUUAAGAUGCCCACCCAAAUGAGACAAGGGCAAAUGGUCCCUAUACUGGGCAGAAAUAAUAUCCCGCCACAGGCUCGGGACCCAUAGUUUGACAAAUCUAUAACUAUUAAGCAAUUAC
rnacentral:lncRNA from 1 species